UCUUAUGAAGGAGGAGCAAAGAAAGUGGUUUCUUAAGAUAGAAUCUACUCUUGGUGAAGGUGCUAUGAA
rnacentral:pre_miRNA from 1 species